rnacentral:rRNA from 1 species
GGCGGCGCGCUUAACACAUGCAAGUCGAGCGAGAACCAGGCCUUCGGGCCUGGGGACAGCGGCGAACGGGUGAGUAACACGUGGGUAAUCAACCCUCGAUACUGGGAUAGCCCGGGGAAACCCGGAUUAAUACCGGAUGGCCCUUUGGAUCCUCGGAUCUGAAGGAAAAGGUAGCUUCGGCCUCCGAUCGAGGACGAGCCCGCGGCGGAUUAGCUUGUUGGUGGGGUAACGGCCUACCAAGGCAACGAUGGGUAGCUGGUCUGAGAGGACGAUCAGCCACACUGGGACUGAGACACGGCCCAGACUCCUACGGGAGGCAGCAGUGGGGAAUCUUGCGCUAAUGCGGGAAACCGUGACGCAGCGACGCCGCGUGAGGGAAGAAGGCCUUCGGGUUGUAAACCUCUUUCAGGAGGGACGAAGCCACUCGGGUUAAUAGCCCAGAAGGUGACGGUACCUCCAGAAGAAGCCCCGGCUAACUACGUGCCA